rnacentral:rRNA from 2 species
UAGAGUUUGAUCCAUGGCUCAGAUUGAACGCUGGCGGCAGGCCUAACACAUGCAAGUCGAGCGGUAGAGAGAAGCUUGCUUCUCUUGAGAGCGGCGGACGGGUGAGUAAUGCCUAGGAAUCUGCCUGGUAGUGGGGGAUAACGUUCGGAAACGGACGCUAAUACCGCAUACGUCCUACGGGAGAAAGCAGGGGACCUUCGGGCCUUGCGCUAUCAGAUGAGCCUAGGUCGGAUUAGCUAGUUGGUGGGGUAAUGGCUCACCAAGGCGACGAUCCGUAACUGGUCUGAGAGGAUGAUCAGUCACACUGGAACUGAGACACGGUCCAGACUCCUACGGGAGGCAGCAGUGGGGAAUAUUGGACAAUGGGCGAAAGCCUGAUCCAGCCAUGCCGCGUGUGUGAAGAAGGUCUUCGGAUUGUAAAGCACUUUAAGUUGGGAGGAAGGGCAGUAAAUUAAUACUUUGCUGUUUUGACGUUACCGACAGAAUAAGCACCGGCUAACU